rnacentral:rRNA from 1 species
UACAGAGGUCUCAACCGUUGUUCGGAUUCACUGGGCGUAAAGGGUGCGUAGGCGGUCGGGUAAGUCUGAUGUGAAAUCUCACAGCUUAACUGUGAAACUGCAUUGGAUACUAUCCGGCUAGAGGAAUGGAGGGGAGACUGGAAUACUUGGUGUAGCAGUGAAAUGCGUAGAUAUCAAGUGGAACACCAGUGGCGAAGGCGAGUCUCUGGACAUUUCCUGACGCUGAGGCACGAAAGCCAGGGGAGCGAACAGG